rnacentral:rRNA from 1 species
GACAGAGGGUGCAAACGUUGUUCGGAAUUACUGGGCGUAAAGCGCGUGUAGGCGGCACUACAAGUCGGAUGUUGAAAUCCCGCGGCUUAACCGUGGAAGUGCACCCGAAACUGUUAGAGCUAGAGUCCCGGAGAGGAUGGUGGAAUACUUGGUGUAGAGGUGAAAUUCGUAGAUAUCAAGUGGAACACCGGUGGCGAAGGCGGCUAUCUGGACGGUGACUGACGCUGGAG